CCCGCCACUGGGAUGAGUGAAAUCCAGCAACUGGUGGGUUGAACAGCUGGGAGGAGCUCAUUCUUUAUUUUGACACACUAUACUUUUUAUACACGGAGCAUACAGUUGAAAAUGAGACUGGACCGGAGAGAAAAGCAGAAGGCGGGGGACCCUAAAAGCAGAAAGAAAGAAUUCAAAGGAGGAGAAAGAUUCAAAAAGGAAGAUGAGAGAAACGAAGAGAAGAGGAAAUAGGAACCAGAGGCCAGUACAGGCUGGGACCACUAUGGAGACAGCAUGAGGAGGCCUUGCUGGGAGGGCACGACUAACGUCUCUGACAUGACCUCUAUAGCCAAGCAAGGAGCAGCACUGAUGGUCUCCAAAGAGCCCAUCCCAUGCCAAGGAAAGUCACCACCAGGGAAGAAUCAGAGGCAAGCAAUUCACCAUGAUUUACAGAUGACUUGUGCUGGAUGAAGCAUACAGAGAAAUGGUGAGAGUGCUGGUGGCUCUGAGGUGGAUCUGAUUAGCUGCAGCAUGUAACCUCAGCUGUCUUUGAUAUCUCUAACCAUGAAGUUUUGUUGGGACUUCUUCAGUAACUAACAAGAAUGGACAGGAUUGCUCUUGAAUGGUUUCAUUGGGAGCCAUCUUGGGAGAUCCAAAAGGGUGGUUUGGGACAAUUCUUCUGUCCCAAAAGCUCUCUCCUAUAUGACUUGGUAUAAUCACCUUUCCUAUUCAGCAUUGAUAACAGGCUGUUAGGAGAAUUAGUGAGGAAACAUGGGCUGCAAUAUGUUCAGUAUGCUGAGGAUACUCCACCACAUUGGAUCUGACUGGUGCAGAGGAACCAAUAACCCAGAUUCAGAGUGUGGAUGGUGCUGAGUUGGCUCAGGCUUAAUUCAGAUAAGACUGAAGUAGUAUUAGGGGAAACAAUCAGAAGUGGCAAUGGAAAUAACCACACCUUUAUUUGGGGCAGUGCACCUGCCAUUCACAGAUCAGGUUCCAAUUCCUGGAGUAUAGGAUCAGAUGUUAUUAGAUGAUCAAACAGUUGUACCCAAAAAGGUUCUUUUUCCCCCCUCUUUGAACAUCUGGCCAGAAGAAUGUAGCCUUUUUCCUUUGGUGUAGACCUGGCUACCAUCAUCCACACCUUUGUCACUUCAAAACUGGACUGCUGUAAUGCACAGCACAUGGAGAUUGCAUAUUGGGAUCACUUGGAGGUGCAAGCUAGUGCAGAAAGUGUAUCAUACAAGAAGCCUGUAACAUGGAUGCAUUUGGGUGCUGCACUGUCUCAUGAUAGGUUUCUGGAUGGAGUUCUAGGAUCUGGUCUUAUCCCUGAAUGGUUUGGAAACCAUUACCUGAGGGACUGCCUCUCUCGCUGGGCCGUACUGAUAUAGCUAAGAUCACUGGAGGCCCUACAAGCUAGAGCAGGUGUUCUUUGUGAGGAGACUUGACUCUGGAAUUCUGUUCCUUCCUUGAUUUGUUAACUUUCCGAGCACAUGGAAAGGCUUAUUUUUCCUAGCAGGCAUUUUAGGGCGAUUGCAUGUCCGUCGGUGAGGGGACUGGAGGCUGUACGAUGAUUUAGGUGGGGCCUCAUGAUACGUUUGGUACAGUAGCUCAAGUUAUUGUGGGAGUCUUCAUUAGCAACUUUGUAACUGGAAAAAAUUGAUGAGUUGGAUAACUGUAGAUUUUUAAUUGUGUGUUUUAAGUAUUGGGAGGGGCUUAGAGUUCUGCAUAGAAAAUAGGACAAAAUAUCCUUAAUUAAAUAAUAAAUGCUACCAAUAAACUUUAGUAUAUUUUGCCCAGUGGUGCUGCUUCCCCCUACUUGGUCAAGGGUAUGAGACAGUAUUUUUGCCUAAAUGGGAAAAUAAGUAGUUAGAUCAAAUCACUCUCAUUUCUUCCCCAAGCUGUUAUAUGCACCCCUGGUGCUGGGGUUAUAUCACAAGAUAAAUGGGGAGGAGACCCUUGUUAAAACACUGACAGCACAUUGCAGGGUAGGGGAGAGCUUCAGCUGGGCUGGGAAGGAAGAGGAGAAAGGGAGCAAGGAGAAAAGGAAGUACUGAGAAUAGGAGUCACCAGCUACAGAGAUCUGGAGUGGGGAUUUAAUCCAGAUUAGAGUAUGAUGUGUAAUCCAGAGGAAACAAGCAGAGCUAGGAUCAGGUUAGGAUCCUGGUCAACCAUUAGAAUUCUAUUCCUUUUCUUUAAAGGAAUUCACCACAGGCUACAAUUCUUCAGAAUUUGCAUAAAAUUGUUGGUAGUUUUCCAAGUCUUGUAAAUUCCAUGAUAGGCCUGUGUAUAGGAACAGCACCCGACUAGGAAGGACUGCUGCAUCCAGGUCUACCACCAGAUAACUGGGGCAAAAGAUAAAUCAGCAGAAUGGUCAAGAAGAGGGCGGGUCAUAAUGAAUGCAGGGUUGGGGCCUAAACGUCUACAGACGUAUUUUUUGAAAUCAUAUUUCCAUUAUUUCUCUUCACACAAAACAACAUUAGAUACAUUGUCAUUGUAUGCAGUUGUAUUUAACACGAAUGGCUGUCAGAUACUUCCGAUGUACUUAAAGAAAAGAGGACUGGGUAUUUAGAAAUUGGUCAUUUAGCAUACCGAGAGGAGGGCUCGCGAGCUAGCAUGCCAAAAUCUUUAGCCAGGUUCUUUGACUAGUAACCUGAUCAAUCCUGAAUAAGCAAAAAGUUAUGUACUAUGUGGUGUGUUAACAUGUGAGUGUAACUUUGCCAUAGAAAACGCGAGAGGUGGGCAUACUUAAAGAUUUUGCAAACUUCCCAGCCUACUUUCUAGGUUUGCAAACCCAUUUCAAGCUUGAAGGCAAAUUUUCCUCCAAACCCAUGACUGUUGUCUGUGGGCCCAAAUCCAUCCUCUGUCAAAGCUCCCACUGAAAUCAAUACAGGUUUUUCUUGAUUAAAGAUUUACUUGUUGCAAUGGAAGGUAUUUAAUAAAGUAACCCAAAAUCUCUUAUAGUUUGUGUCUUCACCUAAAAGUUGUUUUCUUAUCCAUCAACCAACAAAACACUAAGAGAGAAGACAAAGAAAGAUAAAGAAAAGAUCAACAACAACAGAAAGCCAAACAAAUUUUGGCUUACCCAGCCCUUCCCUUAUGCCCACCAAGCACACCACACCUUCAGGUCAUCGACAGCUGUAUGGUAUAUUAGGCUUUAAAAAAAAAAAAAAAAGAUCCAUACACCUCCCAUAUAUAGUGGGAAACUCUGGCAUGUUGUCCUGUAAUUAACACAUCCAUGUCAAAAUUCUGAUCACACUGCUGUGGAACCUCGCUACAGUCAAAGGGGUUACACAGGUGAAAGUAAGGAAAGCCUGUGACUGUAGGUAUUUAAGUCUAAUUAGCCCACAGCAUCCAGUGUUGUUAGCAGAUUUC